rnacentral:rRNA from 1 species
UACGUAGGGGGCCAGCGUUGCUCGGAAUUACUGGGCGUAAAGGGUCCGUAGGCGGUGUUGCAAGUCGAUAGUGAAAUCUCUGGGCUUAACCCAGAGGCUGCUAUCGAAACUGCUGUGCUAGAGUGUGAGAGAGGCGAGUGGAAUUACGGGUGUAGAGGUGAAGUGCGUAGAUAUCCGGAGGAACAUCAGAGGCGAAGGCGGCUCGCUGGAUCACAACUGACGCUGAGGGGCGAAAGCGAGGGGAGCAAACAGG